GACGAACGCUGGCGGCGUGCUUAACACAUGCAAGUCGAGCGAAGCAAUCUAAGUGAAGUUUUCGGAUGGAUCUUGGAUUGACUGAGCGGGCGACGGGUGAGUACGCGUGGAUAACCUGCCUCACACAGGGGGAUAACAGUUAGAAAUGACUGCUAAUACCGCAUAAGCGCACAGGACCGCAUGGUCUGGUGUGAAAAACUCCGGUGGUAUAAGAUGGACCCGCGUCUGAUUAGCUAGUUGGUGGGGUAACGGCCCACAAAGGCGACGAUCAGUAGCCGGCCUGAGAGGGUGAACGGCCACAUUGGGACUGAGACACGGCCCAG
rnacentral:rRNA from 1 species